AUUGAACGCUGGCGGCAGGCCUAACACAUGCAAGUCGAGCGAGCGGCGGACGGGUGAGUAAUGUAUGGGGACUGCCCGAUAGAGGGGGAUAACUACUGGAAACGGUGGCUAAUACCGCAUACUAUCGGAUAACCCAUAUGGGAUUAGCUAGUAGGUGGGUUAAAGGCUCACCUAGGCGACGACCUCUAGCUGGUCUGAGAGGAGGAUCAGCCACACUGGGACUGAGACACGGCCUAGGCUCCCAGGGAGGCAGCAGUGGGGAAUAUUGAACAGUGGGCGCAAGCCUGAGGAAGCCAUGCCGCGAGUAUGAAGAAGGCCUUAGGGUUGUAAAGUAAUUUCAGCGGGGAGGCGUUACCCGAAGAAGAAGCACCGGCUAAAUCCGUGCGAGCAGCCGCGGUAAUAC
rnacentral:rRNA from 1 species